GUCAUCGUCCUGCUGUAAUGUCCGUCCUGCCUCACGACUGAGCGCGUUUGAUGUGUCCCUAUGCGGCUCCUCAUGGAAAUUGGUUGUGACCGGCGUGCUACUAUUUUCAGGGUCUAAAUCAAAAAGAGGAAGCUCUACUAGCCCACAGACCCGGAGCCAGAGCUGUUUUGAUCAUCAUCGUUAUGAAAUGGUUAGUCACGAUUCGUGACUAACGAAAUCAUGUGGCCUUCGCCUGCGUUUACGGUAGAUCAGUUACAACAGCGGGCGACGUCUGGCACAACAGUUACAAAAGCUCCAGCGGAUCAGGACCGGACAGGCUCACGCUUAGGCGCAGGCAGGGACGAUCACACUGUCGUACAUCAGUUUACGUUACAUCAGCUCAUCCGGGUUAAUAGGAGCGUUCUUGACCUUAAAAAUGAAACAAUCAUGAACUGGCCGGCUUUAAUAUUUUAGUGGCUGUGUGGUCAGAGAAGUGCUCGCAGUGCCUUUGACGCUGUCGUAGCGCGCCACGCUGCUGUAAAGUCACACAUCACUUUAGAUGGCAUGGAAAAAGUUCUCCUCGGACUCAGACUCGGUCUUGUGACUCUGGGCCCAGCGCGCUGCUCUGAGUCAGCUGGUGCGGGGGAAAAAAGUUCCGGGCGCAGGGCCAGAGGAGAGGGGAAGAGAAGAAGAGGAAAGAGGAGAGGAGAAGAGGAAACAGAAGAGAAGGAGAGGAAAGAGGAGAAGAGAGAGAAAGAGGAGAUGAGAAGAGAAAAAGACCCUCCAGAAACGGGUCCGCAAGCCCCGGAGCUCUCUGCGCUCACUGGGAAGCCCUGUGUUUAGGGAGCUGAGCAGGCUAAUGUCUCUGAGAAGCACAAACACGAUUUAGCCUCUAAGAAGGGACAUCUGAAAGCUGAGAAGGUCAUGCUGUGCCGGAAUGCUGCCCAGGGUCGUGACCCCAGCACAGGUGGGAACAGCUACACAAACAUUAAAGGGCACAGGGGCCAACUGGAAGCCAUGUAGAAGGAUCUGGAGAAGGAUCUGUUCAUUUGCUGUGAUUUUGUUCAACACAUGGUGGAAUCUUAUAAUGAGGAUGCGCUCUUGAUCUGUCAGAAAAUUUCCAUGAUCAAUCUGUGACUGGGAAUACAUUUCAGAAGUGUACAACUUCUAGAAGAAAGACACCAGUAACCCAAAUAUCCCUUACUUCUACACUUCUGUCAUGCAUUAUGGAAGAAUGAAUGAGAAACUGUAAUUACUGCUCCUGACCGCUCAGUGCUGAGUGGACAGAGAGAGGAGAUCAAAACUGACACUGUGAUUAUCAACAAUCUCCAUCGGUGAAGUGAGUAUGUACUGUAAACACAUAUACUUUUGAAGGAGCAGUUGAUGAGUACUAUGGAAAAAAGAACAAGGGAAAGGUCAAUGGAAUUAAUGUGACACUGUGUUUGUGUGUUUGUGUUAACAGCUGAGUAAGAAAAUAAGCUUGAGGCACAACAGAGUAUGCAGUAAAGUCUUAUUGUGUU